AAAAGACAACAGAGAGCAAGGAAAUAACAGAUAAAAGACAACAGAGAUCGAAGGAAAUAACAGAUAAAAGACAACAGAGAGCGAAGGAAAUAGCAGAUAAAA